GACGAACGCUGGCGGCGUGCUUAACACAUGCAAGUCGAACGGAAAGGCCCUGCUUUUGUGGGGUGCUCGAGUGGCGAACGGGUGAGUAACACGUGAGUAACCUGCCCUUGACUUUGGGAUAACUUCAGGAAACUGGGGCUAAUACCGGCUAGGAGCUCUUGCUGCAUGGUGGGGGUUGGAAAGUUUCGGCGGUUGGGGAUGGACUCGCGGCUUAUCAGCUUGUUGGUUGGGUAGUGGCUUACCAAGGCAUUGACGGGUAGCCGAGCUGGGAGGGUGACCGGACAAAUCAGGACGGGAAUGAGGCCCAGCCUCGUAUGGGAGGCAAGGGUGGAGAAGGUUAUACAAGGGGAGGAGGGAUGACGUGGCACAGCCGCGUGGGGGAUGACGGGAAUGGGGUUGUGAACUAAAUCUGCCUUAGCCGAGGCGAGAGUGACGGUAAUGGGUGAAGAAGCUCCGGCUAACUACGUG
rnacentral:rRNA from 1 species